CUACGGGAGGCACCAGGCGCGAAACCUUUACAAUGCACGAAAGUGUGAUAAGGGGACUCUAAGUGCUUAUGCUUUGCAUAGGCUUUUGCCAAAAGUAAAUAUUUUGGCGAAUAAGUGGUGGGAAAGACGGGUGCCAGCCGCCGCGGUAACACCUGCGCCACGAGUGGGAACCGCUUUUAUUGGGCCUAAAGCGUCCGUAGCCGAUCUAGUAAAUCUUCUGUGAAAUUGUUCUGCUCAACAGACCAGUGUGCAGGAGACACUGCUGGAAUUGGAACUGGGAGGAGUCAGAAGUAUUUUGGGGGGAGCGGUAAAAUGCUAUAAUCCCCGAAAGACUACCUGUGGUGAAAACGUCUGACUAGUACAGAUUCGACGGUGAGGGACGAAAGCUAGGGGAGCAAUCCGGAUUAGAUACCCCGGUAGUC
rnacentral:rRNA from 1 species